AACGAACGCUGGCGGCAGGCCUAACACAUGCAAGUCGAACGCCCCGCAAGGGGAGUGGCAGACGGGUGGGUAACGCGUGGGAACCUUCCCAGUGGUGCGGAAUAGCUCAGGGAAACUUGGGGUAAUACCGUAUAAGCCCGAAAGGGGAAAGAUUUAUCGCCAUUGGAUGGGCCCGCGUAGGAUUAGCUAGUUGGUGAGGUAAUGGCUCGCCAAGGCGACGAUCCUUAGCUGGUCUGAGAGGAUGAUCAGCCACACUGGGACUGAGACACGGCCCAGACUCCUACGGGAGGCAGCAGUGGGGAAUAUUGGACAAUGGGCGCAAGCCUGAUCCAGCCAUGCCGCGUGAGUGACGAGGGCCUUAGGGUUGUAAGGCUCUUUUGGCGGGGACGAUAAUGACGGUACCCGCAGAAUAAGCCCCGGCUAACUUCGUGCCAGCAGCCGCCGUAAGAC
rnacentral:rRNA from 1 species